UGCACAGUGUGCAGCCCCUCCUGCAGUCCCUGCUGCUUCCUCUUCCUGCCUGAUACACAGAUUUAAAGAUUUCUCCAGCUUUGGCUGCCUCAGUCAGAAGGUCCCAGUUUAGCUGAGGGGCACCAGGAACACCAGGGAAGUGGAAAUGGGAGAGACAGAGGAAGGGGGGAGGUCUGAGACUGCAGCCCACAGGCAGAACUCAUCAGGAACUGCUAGGGGAGUGAUCUCCACAAAGAGGUGACCUGCUGUGUUUUGAUAAUGGCAAACAGAACCCUUGAAUCUGGAACAUGUGCUGACAGCUGGAGCUGGGAUGAAACAGCACAAAGGAUGUUUAGAUGAUGUUGUUACCCAACAGAAAAGCUGAAAUUAGAACAACUGUGCUGUAACUCUCUACAAAGAGGUUCAGAUGAAAAAAAUAACGAUGUGUUUGAUGCCCAUGUAGGCAGCUGAGCUGAUGCUGAACUCUGCCUUCUGUGAUGGCACAAUUUGCUGACAGCCAGGUUUGUAGGACAGCAGCCUGGAAAUCUGUCUGUGUUUCCUUUGAGGUGUGUUUUCCUAGAAUACAUAUUUUCUUUGGUGAUUAUUUAUUAUUACCAUGAGGAAAUGUAUCAGUUUUGACAGUACUGCUCCUCUAAUGACAUAUAUCAUGAGCCAGGAUAUUUUUCUAGGUUUAUUUUUGAGCCUGACACUUUCAUUUGAGAUCCUAAUUAUAUACAUAUUUGUAUACAUAUUUAUUUCAGUGUUUUUAAACAGUAAAAAAAUGUAACCCAAGGUAUUGUUCAAGAAAACAUCUAGGGCUUAAGUAACUUAACCAUUGUAGAGACAGGAAAGGUGGAAUUUAGGUUUUUUCUUUCUUUCUGUUCAUAGUUAUUUCUGGAAUUUCCAAUUCCUCAGAAUUAUCAUAGGAUUUUUUUUGUUAAUGAGCACUAAAAGGCUCCAUCUUUGUUCUGCACUCUGUGCCAAGAUAAUCUUGAGGAAGUUAUGACUUUGAUGGAUAAAUAUUCCAGAAGAAAAAUGAAAUUCAGGGUAAACUGUUUCCAUGAGAAAAUGGAUCAGAUAACAUUUGAAACCUAUAUAAUGCAGUUUCAUCAUAAUUGUGCAGCCUUAAAUGAUUGAAAUAAAUGUUUUAAAUGAAACAAGUCAUCCUAGGAUGAAGAUUUCAUACUAUACAAUUCAGCCUGGCAUUAAUUUUAUACAUAGUAAGAACUACUUGGUCAUCAGCAGAAUUUGGUCUCUGGAUUUAUAUUUAUACAGUAAAGGAUGCUGGGUACUGAUAAAGUUACAAGAAGCAGUUAAGAUAAAUAAAAAUUUGUAGCUUCCCAAGCCAUGGAGUUAAUCCACAAACAAGAUUCUAAACAACACCACCUAUUCUUGCAUGUCACCAGAACCUGCUGAUGUUUGAGGAAGUUUUCCAUUUGACAAGUUUUAGGAUCAUAUUUCUAGAAAGGGCUUUGCUGUAAUUAUUCCAGGAAUGAAUUCUGAGCAGGUGAAGGAAAUACUGGCUGCAAUAUGCAUCAGAAAGUCUGACAGCUGGGAAAUCAGAGAAAAAUACUCUUUGUUUUUGAAGUACAGUCAUCAUAGGUUUGACAGCUCUAAGUUGUGGUUGCUUUGCAUGGCACUGAAGAUUCCUGGUUGGAAAUCCUUGGUGCUUCCCUUCCAUCACGUGCUGCUUGCACUG